rnacentral:lncRNA from 1 species
AGGCUACGUACCGUCCAAAGGUGCCUAGUACCUGAGGUAAGAGUAGGCAGUUUACAAGCCAGUGCAUUUUGCUUCUAGUCUGACUUCUGCUCCAGACAAUGGUUCCUUUUCCCUCUGUUGGGCCUUUCAUCUGUGGGCUAACUUCAAAUGGAGUGUUAAUUGAUUUGGAACUUCUAAACUUAAACAAUGCAAGCUUUCGUGACUGUUUUUUUCCUUGCUAUAAUAAUAGUAUUUUUUCAUUGCGGUGAAUCUAUAAAAUACAGAAAAAUAAUAAAGAAGAGAAAACAAUUCCCCAAUAAUCUUACAACCCAGAAAUGACCAUAGUUUACGUCUUGAAACGGCUAAAUUUCUGAGCAGCAAUAAAGUGGCGAGGAGGCAGCAUGACUUCACCCUUUUUGAGAAGGUUGUAGAAACCACACUCAGGACGGGAUAGAAAGGAAUCUUUCAUUUCUCAUAUGCUUGAGUUUCAUGACUGUGUAAAAAUCAGGCUGCCUCUAGUUUCAGGGCGUCUGCAGACACAGUCUUGACUUUGCAAAGCCUAGAACAUGACCUGGGCCAGGGAAAAAAGAUGUCAGACGCUUCACCGUCACUCUUCAGCAGCGUUCAAGCGUGGCGCAGGAGGAUCUACGCAACUGAAGCCUCGGAAUCCACCUGGACCUUCUCAAUCAAGACUGGGGGACACCCUCGUUUCCCAAAUGGACAUUACUAACUGCCGCAUGUGAACAGUCGUAAAGAACUUUGAUUUAAAUGAAGGCAACACUAGUAAAGAACACAUUCUCCUAACACGGAAGUUUUGACCUACCCGAAUACUGAAAGAGAUGGACCCGCUUACUUUUUUAUUUCUCCACAAAUGUUUACUGAGCACUCCCCAUGUGCCACACAGCGUUCUGGACGCCUGAGAUACAGCCGAGACCAAAGCAGGGCAGCUAAACCUAAACUUGAACGCACCCUCGGACUUCAACAAUUGAAUAAUUAUCUACGAGGGAAAAAGUGUCAUUUAAACAGGAAGCCAGAGAGAAGACUAGCGGGACCCAAUCCAGGCUGCCAGCUUACAUUGCAUUGGAUUCUUUUUGAAAUGGCACAUAGAGGGUUACAAAAAGGAUGGUUGCUGAGCUAACAUCUGUGCCAAUCUUCCUUCAUCCUGUAUGUGGGACACUGCCUCAGCAUGGCUCGAUGAGCAGUGUGUAGGUCCGAGCCCAGGAUCCGAACCCCGUGCUGCUGAAGCAGAGCGUGUGAACGUAACCACUACAC